AGUUCAUAUGACUGAUUUUCACUAAGUAUAACAAUCAACGAGUUCACCAUAAAGCCUUUCCCAACAUCAGGACAGUAAAGCAACUACUGAAAACCAUUCCUGAAUUUGUGAUCAAUGGACUCAAGUUUAGGGAGAGGAGCACCUUUGGUCUGCAACAAUGGUUUGAAUCCCAGUCUCUAAUUACUUCUUUCCCAAAUACUCUGGUCACCAAAGGGACAAUAUUUGGUGAGAUGCAGCCAUUUUGUUGGUUAGCAGGAGUUCAGACGCAAGAAAAUGUCAUAGUGGUAGAAUACAGUAUCAACUUCAACAGCAAGCCCAUCUCUGGAAGCUCCCAGACCAUUGUGCCAAUCAAGUGGAGGAGGCACUUUCAUUUAGAGAGGCUUAUGUGAACCUUAUAUGAGAAACUUGCCAACCUGCCUCUUUGAUUUUUUAGCCUUACUAUUUCUAAUACUUAGGUGCUAUCUUUUAGAGACCCUGAAACAGCCAAGACAUGACACUUAGUACAGAGGAAUCCAUAGAGAUGUUUGGGGAUAUUAACCUCACUCUUGGCAUGCUGAACAAGGAAGAUAUUGUUAACAAGGAAGACAUUUACAGUCAUCUCACUUCUGUUAUUCAGAAUACUGACAUCUUGGAUGAUGCAAUUGUCCAACGAUUGAUUUAUUAUGCUUCUAAGGAUAUGAGAGACAACAAUAUGCUCAGAGAAAUCAGAAUGCUAGCUGGUGAGGUUUUGGUGUCUCUUGCUGCACAUGAUUUCAACUCUGUGAUGUAUGAAGUACAAAGUAACUUCAGGAUCUUAGAGCUACCAAAUGAAUUCGUUGUGCUUGCCCUGGCUGAAUUGGCAACCAGCUAUGUGUCCCAGAGUAUUCCUUUCAUGAUGAUGACCCUGCUCACCAUGCAAACCAUGCUCAGGCUGGCCGAGGAUGAAAGGAUGAAGGGGACUUUCUGUAUUGCCCUUGAGAAAUUCAGCAAAGCCAUUUACAAAUAUGUCAACCACUGGAGAGAUUUUCCCUACCCCAGACUGGAUGCCAACCGACUGUCUGACAAGAUCUUCAUGCUGUUCCGGUAUAUAAUGGAGAAGUGGGCCCCUUUGGCCUCACCCAUGCAGACUUUGAGCAUCGUUAAGGACCACGGGCCCACGGUGAGCUUGCUGCUGCAUCGGGAAGACUUCCGUGGAUACGCCCUGGGCCAGGUGCCCUGGCUCCUGAACCAGUAUAAAGACAAAGAGAUUGAUUUCCAUGUCACUCAGAGCCUAAAACAAAUACUGACUGCAGCAGUUCUUUAUGACAUUGGCCUUCCAAGGAGCUUGAGAAGAUCCAUCUUUAUCAAUUUACUCCAGCAGAUCUGCAGAGCUCCAGAGCCUCCAGUAAAGGAAAAUGAAAUGGAAGCUUCAAGCUGUUUUCUCAUUCUAGCCCAUUCCAAUCCUGGAGAGCUGAUGGAAUUUUUUUAUGAACAAGUAAGAAGUAAUAAUGAAGCCAUUCGAGUGGGAAUCUUGACUUUGUUAAGAUUGGCUGUCAAUGCUGAUGAGCCCAGGUUGAGGGAUCACAUCAUUUCAAUAGAAAGAACAGUCAAAAUCGUCAUGGGUGAUCUCAGUACAAAAGUAAGAAAUUCCGUUCUUCUCCUCAUCCAAACCAUGUGUGAAAAGUCCUAUAUUGAAGCUCGGGAAGGAUGGCCAUUGAUUGAUUAUGUCUUCUCCCAGUUUGCAACGUUGAACAGGAAUCUGGAGAAACCAGUGAAAACUAACUUUCAUGAGAAUGAAAAGGAAGAGGAAUCUGUCCGAGAAACAAGCCUUGAGGUCUUAAAAACCCUGGACCCACUGGUCAUUGGAAUGCCUCAGGUGCUAUGGCCAAGGAUCCUGACUUUUGUGGUACCUGCAGAAUACACAGAAGCUCUGGAGCCCCUGUUUAGUAUCAUCAGAAUUCUGAUUAUGGCAGAGGAGAAGAAGAAGCACAGUGCCAAGGAGUCGACAGCACUUGUCAUCUCUACGGGAGCUGUGAAACUUCCUUCACCACAGCAGCUACUGGCCAGACUUCUGGUAAUAUCUAUGCCUGCCAGUUUAGGGGAGUUACGUGGGGCUGGUGCAAUAGGGCUUUUGAAGAUACUGCCUGAGAUAAUUCACCCAAAAUUGGUAGACCUAUGGAAAACACGUUUACCUGAGCUUCUGCAGCCUCUGGAAGGUACAAGGGAGUGGGGCCAGGUCUUUACCCAGGGGGCAAGAACAUAAAGAAAUAAUGCACCGUUUCUCUGUGUAAAGCCAUUAAUGCUCAUUUUAGGCAAUAAAAAUGAUGAACUUGAUA
rnacentral:sRNA from 1 species